rnacentral:rRNA from 1 species
GACGGAGAAGGCUAUGUUGGCCGGGCGACGGUUGUCCCGGUUUAAGCGUGUAGGCUGGUUUUCCAGGCAAAUCCGGAAAAUCAAGGCUGAGGCGUGAUGACGAGGCACUACGGUGCUGAAGCAACAAAUGCCCUGCUUCCAGGAAAAGCCUCUAAGCAUCAGGUAACAUCAAAUCGUACCCCAAACCGACACAGGUGGUCAGGUAGAGAAUACCAAGGCGCUUGAGAGAACUCGGGUGAAGGAACUAGGCAAAAUGGUGCCGUAACUUCGGGAGAAGGCACGC